AUUGAACGCUGGCGGCAUGCUUUACACAUGCAAGUCGAACGGUAACAGGGAAAAGCUUGCUUUUCUGCUGACGAGUGGCGAACGGGUGAGUAAUACAUCGGAACGCGCCCUGUAGUGGGGGAUAACUACUCGAAAGAGUGGCUAAUACCGCAUACAACCUGAGGGUAAAAGUGGGGGACCGCAAGGCCUCACGCUAUAGGAGCGGCCGAUGGAAGAUUAGGUAGUUGGUAGGGUAAAGGCCUACCAAGCCGACGAUCUUUAGCGGGUCUGAGAGGACGAUCCGCCACACUGGGACUGAGACACGGCCCAUACUCCUACGGGAGGCAGCAGUGGGGAAUUUUGGACAAUGGGGGCAACCCUGAUCCAGCAAUG
rnacentral:rRNA from 1 species